UACGUAGGCAGCGAGCGUUGUUCGGAGUUACUGGGCGUAAAGCGUGCGUAGGCGGUGUUCCAAGUCUGUUGUGAAAUCUCCCGGCUUAACCGGGAGGGUGCGGCGGAAACUGGGACGCUGGAGUGCGGGAGAGGUAAGCGGAAUUCCUGGUGUAGCGGUGAAAUGCGUAGAUAUCAGGAGGAACACCUGCGGUGUAGACGGCUUACUGGACCGUAACUGACGCUGAGGCACGAAAGCGUGGGUAGCAAACAGG
rnacentral:rRNA from 1 species